AUGCCCUCAAGGUCAGCCCAUGUUGUCACAAAAGUCUUCAAAAAUACUGUCCACGAGCCACGUGGCUUGCCCAUGUUCCUGAGAACCAUCGCUGAAAAUGAUGGCUUUUGAGCCACCAGAAACUACAUUUUAAAGAACCUUUCCAGAGGGAUUAUGUGACACUGAAAUCUGAGAAAUCUGGAAAUCUGUUCCACUCUCUCAAGGAACAGAUGGGAAUCAAUCACUCACCAGUGCAAUAUAGAAAUUAGUAGCUGCCUAAUGAACAUGUACACGCACAAAAUCAGCCGUGGGAAUAAUUUUUCACACCUGGAUGGCUCCUUCCAGAACAGCGUGGUGCAGAAGUUAAACCCAGAGGACUCAAGGGGAGAGGGUCUGGACUGUGACACUUAGGAGAGAGAGUCACCCAGCUGUCUGACCCUUGAAUUUCUUAUCUAUAAAAUGGGGAUAACGGUGUCAUCACAGAAUGGUACGAGGAUUGAACGAAGUAAUGCAUGUCAGUCUCUGAUUAGACU